rnacentral:lncRNA from 1 species
AGUCCAUUCAUCUCCAGAUAGCUAGGUGGACCAGUCAUAGUCAGUCCAUUCAUCACCAGAUAGUUAGGUGGACCAGUCAGUCCAUUCAUCUCCAGAUAGCUAGGUGGACCAGUCAUAGUCAGUCCAUUCAUCUCCAGAUAGUUAGGUGGACCAGUCAGUCCAUUCAUCUCCAGAUAGCUAGGUGGACCAGUCAUAGUCAGUCCAUUCAUCUCCAGAUAGCUAGGUGGACCAGUCAUAGUCAGUCCAUUCAUCUUCAGAUAGCUAGGUGGACCAGUCAUAGUCAGUACAUUCAUCUCCAGAUAGCUAGGUGGACCAGUCAUAGUCAGUCCAUUCAUCACCAGAUAGUUAGGUGGACCAGUCAGUCCAUUCAUCUCCAGAUAGCUAGGUGGACCAGUCAUAGUCAGUCCAUUCAUCUCCAGAUAGUUAGGUGGACCAGUCAGUCCAUUCAUCUCCAGAUAGCUAGGUGGACCAGUCAUAGUCAGUCCAUUCAUCUCCAGAUAGCUAGGUGGACCUAGCCAUCUGUGGUGGUGGUGGUGGUGGUGGUGGUGGUGGUGUAUGGUGGUGUAUGGUGGUGUAUGGUGGUGGUGUAUGAUGGUGUAUGGUGGUGGUGUAUGAUGGUGGUGGUGGUGGUGGUGGUGUAUGGUGGUGUAUGGUGGUGGUGGUGUAUGGUGGUGGUGGUGUAUGGUGGUGGUGGUGUAUGGUGGUGGUGUAUGGUGGUGUAUGAUGAUGGUGUAUGGUAGUGGUGGUGGUGUAUGGUGGUGGUGUAUGAUGGUGAUGGUGGUGGUGGUGGUGGUGUCUUUCUAACUGUUGUACCAUCUCGUUCCAG